GAGAAACAACCAAAAAACAGCAGAAACUGGUAAGAACACAAAUACUAAUGUAAAUUAUCAAGCACAUUGAAAUUAUUGAUCAAUGACUUUUCACCAUAUCUCAAACUUAGGUAUCUAUAUGAAUAUAGUUUCUUAAAUAAGCUCAAAAUUCCCAAUAUUCCACAGACAUCCCUUGGGAAGUUACUAAAUGACAUGCAAAUAUCAACGCGACCCCAGUCACUGAAGGAUGUUUCUUGCACAAAUUGAGACUCCCCAGCCAAGAAAGUCGAGUUUGAUUCCCAUGACACAUCAGUUUUAUGCAGUCAAUGGGAAAUUCUUUAGAUUUCCGAGCGCAGAAGUGGGUAUAUUCACAGCCCAACGAAUGCUUCUAACAUAAUACAAUCCACAUAGAGAACUCACGAAAAGAUCAAAAA